rnacentral:rRNA from 1 species
AGCGAACGCUGGCGGCAGGCCUAACACACGCAAGUCGAACGAAGCCUUCGGGCUUAGUGGCGGACGGGUGAGUAACACGUGGGAACGUACCUUUUGGUUCGGAAUAACGCAGAGAAAUUUGCGCUAAUACCGAAUGAGCCCUUCGGGGGAAAGAUUUAUCGCCGAAAGAUCGGCCCGCGUUGGAUUAGGUAGUUGGUGUGGUAAAGGCGCACCAAGCCUACGAUCCAUAGCUGGUCUGAGAGGAUGAUCAGCCACACUGGGACUGAGACACGGCCCAGACUCCUACGGGAGGCAGCAGUGGGGAAUCUUGCGCAAUGGGCGAAAGCCUGACGCAGCCAUGCCGCGUGAAUGAUGAAGGUCUUAGGAUUGUAAAAUUCUUUUACCAGGGACGAUAAUGACGGUACCUGGAGAAAAAGCCCCGGCUAACUUCGUGCCAGCCGCCGCGGUAAGAC